UUUAUGGAGAGUUUGAUCCUGGCUCAGGAUGAACGCUGGCGGCGUGCCUAAUACAUGCAAGUCGAGCGAACGGACGAGAAGCUUGCUUCUCUGAUGUUAGCGGCGGACGGGUGAGUAACACGUGGAUAACCUACCUAUAAGACUGGGAUAACUUCGGGAAACCGGAGCUAAUACCGGAUAAUAUUUUGAACCGCAUGGUUCAAAAGUGAAAGACGGUCUUGCUGUCACUUAUAGAUGGAUCCGCGCUGCAUUAGCUAGUUGGUAAGGUAACGGCUUACCAAGGCAACGAUGCAUAGCCGACCUGAGAGGGUGAUCGGCCACACUGGAACUGAGACACGGUCCAGACUCCUACGGGAGGCAGCAGUAGGGAAUCUUCCGCAAUGGGCGAAAGCCUGACGGAGCAACGCCGCGUGAGUGAUGAAGGUCUUCGGAUCGUAAAACUCUGUUAUUAGGGAAGAACAUAUGUGUAAGUAACUGUGCACAUCUUGACGGUACCUAAUCAGAAAGCCACGGCUAACUACGUGCCAGCAGCCGCGGUAAUACGUAGGUGGCAAGCGUUAUCCGGAAUUAUUGGGCGUAAAGCGCGCGUAGGCGGUUUUUUAAGUCUGAUGUGAAAGCCCACGGCUCAACCGUGGAGGGUCAUUGGAAACUGGAAAACUUGAGUGCAGAAGAGGAAAGUGGAAUUCCAUGUGUAGCGGUGAAAUGCGCAGAGAUAUGGAGGAACACCAGUGGCGAAGGCGACUUUCUGGUCUGUAACUGACGCUGAUGUGCGAAAGCGUGGGGAUCAAACAGGAUUAGAUACCCUGGUAGUCCACGCCGUAAACGAUGAGUGCUAAGUGUUAGGGGGUUUCCGCCCCUUAGUGCUGCAGCUAACGCAUUAAGCACUCCGCCUGGGGAGUACGACCGCAAGGUUGAAACUCAAAGGAAUUGACGGGGACCCGCACAAGCGGUGGAGCAUGUGGUUUAAUUCGAAGCAACGCGAAGAACCUUACCAAAUCUUGACAUCCUUUGACAACUCUAGAGAUAGAGCCCGCAAGGUUGAAACUCAAAGGAAUUGACGGGGACCCGCACAAGCGGUGGAGCAUGUGGUUUAAUUCGAAGCAACGCGAAGAACCUUACCAAAUCUUGACAUCCUUUGACAACUCUAGAGAUAGAGCUUUCCCCUUCGGGGGACAAAGUGACAGGUGGUGCAUGGUUGUCGUCAGCUCGUGUCGUGAGAUGUUGGGUUAAGUCCCGCAACGAGCGCAACCCUUAAGCUUAGUUGCCAUCAUUAAGUUGGGCACUCCCGCAAGGUUGAAACUCAAAGGAAUUGACGGGGACCCGCACAAGCGGUGGAGCAUGUGGUUUAAUUCGAAGCAACGCGAAGAACCUUACCAAAUCUUGACAUCCUUUGACAACUCUAGAGAUAGAGCCUUCCCCUUCGGGGGACAAAGUGACAGGUGGUGCAUGGUUGUCGUCAGCUCGUGUCGUGAGAUGUUGGGUUAAGUCCCGCAACGAGCGCAACCCUUAAGCUUAGUUGCCAUCAUUAAGUUGGGCACUCUAAGUUGACUGCCGGUGACAAACCGGAGGAAGGUGGGGAUGACGUCAAAUCAUCAUGCCCCUUAUGAUUUGGGCUACACACGUGCUACAAUGGACAAUACAAAGGGCAGCGAAACCGCGAGGUCAAGCAAAUCCCAUAAAGUUGUUCUCAGUUCGGAUUGUAGUCUGCAACUCGACUACAUGAAGCUGGAAUCGCUAGUAAUCGUAGAUCAGCAUGCUACGGUGAAUACGUUCCCGGGUCUUGUACACACCGCCCGUCACACCACGAGAGUUUGUAACACCCGAAGCCGGUGGAGUAACCUUUUAGGAGCUAGCCGUCGAAGGUGGGACAAAUGAUUGGGGUGAAGUCGUAACAAGGUAGCCGUAUCGGAAGGUGCGGCUGGAUCACCUCCUUU
rnacentral:rRNA from 1 species